CUGCAAUCCUCAGACAAUCAUGGAGCCGUAUUUUCCUGGUUUUAAGCACAUGCAGCAGGACUAUGAAGUUACUCUUGAACUUGCAAGUGAGGAGACUCAGAAAAAUAGGAAUGCACAGAAUUCUAAGACGGGAUCUUAUGGUGUCAGUAUUAGAGUUCAAGGAAUUGAUGGACAUCCUUACAUAGUACUAAAUAACACAGAAGGAUGUUUGUCAGAAAAUCCUCCUCCUCCUGGAAAAGAUCAGAAGGUCACUUCUCAGACUGCAAGCAAGCCAUCCACAGAAUCCAAUACUGCUUUUACAUUGGAGGACAAAAACAGUGAACACACAGAGUUUCCUGGAACACAGCUUGUUCAACCCUGCAUGUUUAAAAACCUCAAGAUAACCAACCUGGAUGAAAAAGAAAAUGGAAUAUCAGAUUUUAGAGAUGUAUUGCCAAAAUCCUCCAAUUUGUUGAACUUUCAAAGACAUCCUGAGCUUUUACAGCCUUAUGAUCCUGAGAAGAAUAACUUGAGCUUGGAUAGUUACCAGUCUUCCAUGUGCAGUAAAUCUACAUCUUUUGCAAAAAAAGAAGAUAAAACUGAAGCAAAGCCUUGGAUUUCCUCAUCUAAAGUAGUGUCCCUACAGAAAACAAAUACAUAUCUCGCAGAGUCAGCCACAGCAAAUUCCAAAAAAGUACCUUUAAACCGGGCGGUAGACAUAGAAGACCAAAAUAAGCAGGUGUUUGAUUGUCCCAGUAGCACUAUCAGCCCAAGUGAAGUGCAUGUUUCAGAAUUGUUUUCAUCUACAGGAGGAUCCCCAUGUGCUAGUCCUAUUGCUUAUCCGGAAACUAGAAAACCUAGACCAGAUGUCCUUCCCUUCCGCAGACAAGAUUCAGCUGGGCCAGUGUUAGAUGACUCACGAAGAUCAUCGUCCUCAUCAGCUACUCCCACUUCUGCAAAUUCCUUGUACAGAUUUUUACUUGAUGACCAAGAGUAUGCAAUCUAUGCAGACAAUGUUAACCGGCAUGAAAACAGAAGAUACAUCCCAUUUUUACCUGGAACUGGUCGUGAUAUUGACACCGGCUCCCUUCCAGGAGUAGAUCAGCUAAUUGAGAAGUUUGAUAAGAAAGUUGAUCCUCACAGAAGAGGUAGGUCAGGAAAAAGGAAUAGAAUUCAUCCAGAUGAUCGUAAAAGAUCAAGAAGUGUUGACAGUGCCUUGCCAUUAGGGUUUGAUAUAAAUUCAAAUAAUUUGGGUGAAUUCAGUAAAAGCUUGGGUAAGUCAGCUGAGCACUUGCUAAGACCAUCUAAAGUUUGCCUCCAUAAGCAGUUAUCCAGAGAGCAAAAGCCACCUUCCAAAGACAUGAAAAUUUCUGCUCGAAGUAUUGGAAAACUGCAAACGCCUGAUAAAGACUCUCAGAACAGUCAUUUCAGUUCUUUGCAGUAUCAUAAGCAAAAUGGAGUUAAUACUGAGAGCUUCACGUUUAGAUCAUCCACACUACCAGGACAGAAUAAGAGAGAUGAAGUUAGAACAGUAACUUCAACUCUGUUGUUGCCAAACCGAAUCACAAUUCCAUCAGAUUCAGGAGCCAAGAAGAUUCCUGUAAAAACAUUUUCAUCUGUCCCUAAUACACAGGCAACUCCUGAUCUCUUAAAAGGCCAGCAAGAUAUUACACAGCAAACAAAUGAAGAGACUGCUAAACAGAUACUUUACAAUUACCUUAAAGAAGGAAGUGCUGAUAAUGAUGAUGCAACAAAGAGGAAAGUCAACUUGGUUUUUGAGAAAAUUCAAACAUUAAAGUCAAGAGCUGCUGGAAAGACACCGGUUUCUGAUUCUUCAGCUGAAGUAAAAGCGUUGGUGGAGCAAAAAACAGAACUUGAAAGGAAAGUGGAAGAAUUACAGAAAAAACUGGAUCUAGAAAUCAGGAAUCAGCAAAAUUCAAAAGAGGAGAGAGAUGCUACACGAGCAAGCCUGAAAGAUCUUCAGUUCCAGCUUGAUGAAAGUAUAUGUGAAAGAGAUGCCUUAAAAAAGAAGCUGGAAGAAAACGAGAAGGAACUCCGUCAGAACCUAGAGGAGCUUUUUCAAGUGAAGAUGGAACAGGAACAACACCAGACUGAGAUCAGAGAUCUUCAAGACCAGCUCUCUGAGAUGCAUGAUGAACUGGAUAAUGCAAAACAUACCGAUGAAGGGGAGAAAGAGAUUCUGAUUGAGGAGCUGAUGCAAAUGAAGCAGGAUCUGCAAGAAGUAUUAAUAGCGAAAGAACAACAAGAAGAAAUUUUGAGAAAGAGAGAGCGAGAGCUUACUGCUUUAAAAGGAGCACUAAAAGAAGAAGUAUCUAGCCAUGACAUGGAGAUGGAUAAACUUAAAGAACAACAUGAUAAAGAAUUGCUUGAUCUACAGCAGAGCCUGGAGAAAGCAACACAGAAUGCUGCUGUCCUUGCUAGUGAAAGAAACACUGCAGAAGAGAUGCGAAAUAGUAUAGAAAAUCAAGUCAAGGAGCUGACGAAGGAAAAUGAACAGUUGAAAAGAACAGUUGAUGAGCUAGAGAGUAAAAAUGAAGCGUUGCAUAAACAAUUUGAUAAUGUGAAAGGAGAAGAAGAUUCAGUGAAGGAAAAAAUAACGAAAUAUGAGGAAGAGAAGCAACAAUUAGAAGAAGCUUUGAAACAUGCUGAAAAUGAGGCAAAAGAUUUGGUGGUGUUAAAAAGAUCUUUGGAAAGCCAGCUAGAAGAUAUGCAGGAGAACAUUCAACGUAUUUCGCAGGAACGGCAACAGUUAACCCAACAGUUAAAAGAUGAAAUUCACCAGAAGGAACAGCUGAAGAAGAUAAAGAGUGAAAUGGAAAAUGAACAAUGGCAAUUGAACAAGACCAUUGAAAAGUUAAAGGAGGAGAUGGCUGGAGUGGUAGAGGUCUCAAGAACAUCAACUCUGGAGCUUCAGAGCCAGCUUGAUGAAUACAAGGAGAAAAAUCGCAGGGAACUUGCAGAUGUGCAGAGACAAUUGAAAGAGAAAAACCUUGAGGUAGAAAAAUCACGCCUGACAACCAUGAGAAUGCAGGAUGAGAUGCGUCUCAUGGAAGAAAACUUGAGAGACCACCAGAGAGCUCAAGAUGAAGCAAUAACAAAAACUCAGCUGCUGGAACAGACUGUGAAAGGCUUGGAAUAUGAACUGGAGGUCAAAAACCACUUAAAAGAUGAUCGGGCAAGACAAAUCAAAUUAAUGGAGGACAAAUUAUCUCACCUGGAACUUGAGCUUGAUGAAGAAAAGAAUAAUUCAGAUUUGUUGUCUGAGAGAAUCAGUAGAUGCAGAGAACAGAUUGAACAAAUGAGGACAGAGCUACUUCAGGAAAGAGCUACAAAGCAAGACUUGGAGUGUGAUAAAAUUUCGUUGGAAAGACAGAACAAGGACUUAAAGAGCCGAAUCCUUCACCUGGAAGGUUCUUACCGAUCCAGUAAAGAGGGACUUGUUGCUCAAAUGGAAGCAAGGAUCACAGAGCUAGAAGAACGUCUUGAAAAUGAAGAGAGGGAUAGGGCUAAUUUCCAACUAAAUAACCGCAGACUUGAGAGAAAAGUGAAGGAGUUAAUGUUGCAAGUAGAUGAUGAACAUCUCUCAUUGACUGACCAAAAGGACCAGUUGAGUUUGCGUUUGAAAGCAAUGAAACGUCAAGUUGAAGAAGCUGAAGAAGAAAUAGACAGACUGGAAAGUGCUAAAAAGAAACUUCAGAGAGAACUUGAAGAGCAACUAGAUAUAAAUGAACAAUUGCAAGGACAACUUAAUGCUGCAAAGAAGGAACUAAGUAGACGAAAGAAGUCACCAAGUAAAAUGCUGACUGAUUUUGAUGAUGAUGAUGAUGACGAUGAUGAUGAGUUCAGCACGGAUGGCGAUAGUCUCUGUGAAGUGCCUUCAGGAAAUAACUUUUCAAAAGAUGAUGACACAAAAAACUAAAGUAUUGAAUCUAUGAUUCCUUGAAACUAGUGUAAGAAUAACCUAAAUUAUCAAGAAACUGAAUAUUCUAGAAGCCAAAUGCCAUAAAGGGAUGUAAGACUUGCAAAUUUAAUGUUUCCAUUCAUACUGUGCCAUUUUCUUAUUUAGAUAUCCUCUGUUUAUUAUAGAAAACAGGAUUGCAUUAUAAAACAACUAUAAAACUUGGUUAUGUAUAACUACUACUGAAAACACGGGGAUAAUGUUUCACAUUGGAAAUGCGACUUUACUAAAAUUCGGUUUAAGUAAAGAGCCAUUUGUAAGUAAUUUAAAAUUAGUCUGUAGUUAUUAAAAUAUUUUCCCUAAAAUUAAAGAAGCCACAGACAAUUAUUUAGUAAUUGUAAGUACAAAGGAAUGAUGUAUAGAAUGUAAAUAUUUUAAAUCAGAUCUUUUUAUUGACUACUUUAGUGCUAUUUUGUAAAGCUUCAAAAAUUAUAUAAAUCAGUUUCAUAUGUAAAAUACCUAAAUGUAUACUGAAUAUUAUAUUUGGGUUUUAACAAAACAAAAAAGAAUAUAUUUUUGUGCGUUACAGAGCAGAUUCACAGUUCCUGAGCCAGGAAGUACAUUCUAAUUUUAAAAACAGUGCAAGUUUUAUUGUAUAUGUGUUAAGAUCAAGUGCUAAUUCUGCCUGUUGUCUUUAAAGAGGCCAUCACAUGUGCAUGACAAGUGAGGGUUGCCUACUACUUUUUUGUAAGCUAUUUGGGAAGCUUUCUGUCCAUAGGAGGGAGAGAUGAGAAUGAAGUCAGUUACUACUUGGCAUUUUUCAUUUCCUGAAAUGGACUCCAUGCUGCAAGGGGCGCACAGCACUGUAGGCCUGCUCUUUCGAGGGCACCAGGACAGACUAACCUUAAAGUCUCUAAGGAGUCCCGCAAGAAAUUGCAUCCAGGAAACAAAAGUAUGUAAUCUGAUUUUUCCUUUUAACCUGUUCUUGAACAUCUAUUUGUAACAUGUUGCAGUGUAUGACCAUAUAUGCAGAUAUAUAUUAGCUUUUCAGUUUAUAGAAAUAUCUGCGUUUUGGAUGAUCCAUCUGUUGAACAAACUUUGUGGGAAAUCAAAAAAGAAAAAAGGCAUUGCAGAUUUAAUUUUAAAAGCCUAUUCCAUUUUAUUGCUAAAAAUAUUUUUGUUGUUUAUCUUACAUCAUUUUUGCUCCUUUGCAAAUCUAGAAUUUUAAGGAAAGGCACUGCAAUGUUAUUUUAUUAAUAAACCAUAGCUAUGUUCUCUCUUGUUAUUAGUAUUUGUCCCCAGUUACAUAUAACUGAACACUUUUCAUUGAAUGUGCCCACUACUAGUUUAUUGUAAUUGUAAAAAUACUUAACCUGGAGUUCCUGGGAGCUUCCAAUACUCCCACAACAGUAUCUACUGAAGAGGACAAAUUUAACAGCGCUGAAAGUAAGGCUGAUAACCUUGCUUAACUCAAAAGUUCUGACAAUGGAGCAUCCAUUUUCAUAUGAUUAUGUGAAAUGAAACUCCUGCCUGGCAGAUCAGAAAUAUAUUCAUACAUAGCAGAUUACAGACUCUGUUGCCAUAUAAUUCCCUUCAAAUUGAUUUUGAUGGAUUGAGAUAUAUGGGAACUAACAUGAACCGAGUAGUUUAGAGCCUCCAUCAUGUAAUUUUUCUGCAGUACCAGCUUUACUAUUUUGGCAACGUCAAAACAGCCCUUCUUCUAGGAAGAUCUGCACUAUACUGUAUUGACCAUCAUUGUAUAACCUGCUGUGAUUUAUUCUAUGUUUCAUUAACAUGUUUGUGUAGACUUAACUUUAAUCAACUGGUUCCAAUUUUCAGUUCUGUUCUGGUACUCUGUCCUAAUGUUCAUAGAUAACUAUUAUUUCAAAUCACUGGGAGAAAAUCACAAUAUUGCAGCUACCUCCAGUUACACUAAACUGUAAAAGAAAAAUUCACUUCAAAUAAACAGUAAGUCAGCUCCCGCUGUUCUUGUAUGGUGCAUUUAGCUCGAUAUGACAACUGAAUUUCAUAUGGAAGAUGUGUAAGUUUAAAGUAGAAGAAGAAAGUAAUUAUCUGAGAAACACUAAUGCUCUUGAAAGGGUUUCAAGAGUGAUCCUGUCUGUUACACCUUGCCACUCCCUGUUAUGUCGUCAUCAGAAGAACUGUCCUUUGCUUUUUCCUUUAGACUUGGAAAUGGCAUUUCCUCUAACAAGUUCUCAAAUUAUAUGACUAAAAUCAAAGAAAAUCUUAAGAUAUUGGAAAGGGCAUUUCAACUCAUUUGCAAAA